GUGCUCGCUUCUGCAGCACCAUAUACUAAAACUAGAACGAUACAGAGAAGAUUCACAUGGCCCCUGCGUGAGGAUGACAUGCAGAUUCGUGAAGUGUUCCGUAUUUUU
rnacentral:snRNA from 1 species